GGAGUCUGGGCCGUGUCUCAGUCCCAAUGUGGCCGUUCAACCUCUCAGUCCGGCUACUGAUCGUCGACUUGGUAGGCCGUUACCCCACCAACUAUCUAAUCAGCCGCGAGCCCAUCUUUGAGCGAUAAAUCUUUGAUUACCAGAUCAUGCGGUCCGGUAAUGUUAUGCGGUAUUACCAUCCGUUUCCAGAAGCUAUUCCGCUCUCAAAGGCAGGUUGCUCACGUGUUACUCACCCGUCCGCCACUAAGUUAUUAAAAGCAAGCUUCCAAUAACUCCGUUCGACUUGCAUGUGUUAAGCGUGCCGCCAGCGUUCGUCCUGAGCCACGGAUCAAACUCU
rnacentral:rRNA from 1 species